UAUUACCUGCUCUUUGACGAGUGCAGUGCAGCUCAGCGUUGUGUACGGUUGUGUACAGAGACAAAGGAUACUGGAGAUUGGUGUGUGACUCUGUGUACGUGAUUCGGAUCUCCAUGUGAACUCACCCUGUACAGGUGAAAAAAGCGUCAGCUACUGCACACUUGUUAAACAAAAACAAAUGUGGUUUUUUUUUUUAUCUUGAUCGAGUUUUUCUAGUGUGACGGCAGGCUCCGCGCCCACCGACACCAAAGGUCAGCCGAGCCAUACCAGUGCCCCAAAGCGUUCACCAAGGAGCUGAAACCGCAAGCCACACGACGGACUCGGACCCUAAACAAGUCCCGUUUGACUCUGCUCACCCUCUUCUUUGAGUUUCUUUGCUGCCUCACUCGGGGUGUCGUUUUUAGUUUGUUUUUUUCUUUGCAUCCGUUUUCAGACUCGGUGCCUAUGGUUGCCAAAUUUCUGUUUUCUGAGUCUGUAAUAAACUUUAUGCUAUCCGA